GCAACAGCUCAAAUUUGAAAUCUGGCCCUCGGGCCGAGUUGUAAUUUGGAGAGGAUGCUUCUGGCGCGGCGCCGUCCGAGUUCCUUGGAACAGGACGCCAUAGAGGGUGAGAGCCCCGUACGGGCGGCCGCCUAGCCUUUGCGAAGUCCUUCGACGAGUCGAGUAGUUUGGGAAUGCUGCUCAAAAUGGGAGGUAAAUUUCUUCUAAAGCUAAAUACCGGCCAGAGACCGAUAGCGCACAA
rnacentral:rRNA from 2 species